rnacentral:rRNA from 1 species
AACGAACGCUGGCGGCAUGCCUAACACAUGCAAGUCGAACGGACGUCGCAAGACGUUAGUGGCGGACGGGUGAGUAACACGUAGGAAUCUACCCAGUAGCCUGGAAUAACCGCGGGAAACUGCGGCUAAUACCGGAUACGCCCCCAGGGGGAAAGGAGCAAUCCACUAUUGGAGGAGCCUGCGUCCGAUUAGCUAGUUGGUGAGGUAAUGGCUCACCAAGGCGAUGAUCGGUAGCUGGUCUGAGGGGACGACCAGCCACACUGGGACUGCGACACGGCCCAGACUCCUACGGGAGGAAGCAGUGGGGAAUAUUGGACAAUGGGGGAAACCCUGAUCCAGCAAUGCCGCGUGGGUGAUGAAGGCCUUCGGGUUGUAAAGCCCUCUUGGCGGGGACGAUGAUGACGGUACCCGCCGAAUAAGCCCCGGCUAACUUCGUGCCAGCCGCCGCAGUAAAAC